rnacentral:rRNA from 1 species
AACGAACGCUGGCGGCAUGCCUAACACAUGCAAGUCGAACGAGACCUUCGGGUCUAGUGGCGCACGGGUGCGUAACGCGUGGGAACCUGCCCUUAGGUUCGGAAUAACUCCCCGAAAGGGGUGCUAAUACCGGAUAAUGUCUUCGGACCAAAGAUUUAUCGCCUUUGGAUGGGCCCGCGUUGGAUUAGCUAGUUGGUAGGGUAAAAGCCUACCAAGGCGACGAUCCAUAGCUGGUCUGAGAGGAUGAUCAGCCACACUGGGACUGAGACACGGCCCAGACUCCUACGGGAGGCAGCAGUGGGGAAUAUUGGACAAUGGGCGAAAGCCUGAUCCAGCAAUACCGCGUGAGUGAUGAAGGCCUUAGGGUUGUAAAGCUCUUUUACCCGGGAUGAUAAUGACAGUACCGGGAGAAUAAGCGCCGGCUAACUCCGUG